UUUAUGACAGUUAUGUGAGGAUCAUGAAGUUCUCAGCUUUAUUAAAUACAAAGUGUUUGAUCCAAAACCUUCUGCCAAAACGCUCUCUGGGCUGUUGGAAUGGGAAUGUAAGACAGAUGCAGUGGAAGCUCUCACUGUACUUAAUCACUACCAGAUAAGAGUCCCAAAUGGCUCCAACCCUUACACCUUGAAGCUUUGCUUCUCUACUUCAUCCCAUUUAUAGAGAAGACAGCAUGUUAAGAGCUACGUUCACCUUGACUUGCAAGUUUAAAACUACACUUCGUUCAGAAAGCUCUGAAGUGGUUGUUCUAAUGUUGCCUUGUUUCAACUUAAUAAUAUCUUUUGUCUUAUUUUAUAAUAAAUUGAUGUUCCUUCAUAAAUAC